ACCGCGCCCGCCUGUUCCAGAACUCGUACAGGCAACAAGUUCUGGCUUCUUCAGAGCGGCCAAUGGGUUCGGGAGGCCCGGCGUGAGGGGAGCGCUCCUGUGGAGCCCGCGAUGCCCAUGCCUGGAGGGGAGAGCGCUGCCUUCUCCGCCCCCAGGAACGCGGAGUUGCAGGUCGGUAGAGCAGAUCUGCCCCCGGGGCGCCCCUCAGAGAGGGACAGCAGCACAUCCCCGCUGCGGUCAACAGGUACACUAACACCCGGAGGACCGCAGCCGGGGUCUUCCCACCCUAGCCCUCGCCCCUUACCUCCAGCAACUGCACGUAGCUUGCCGGGAACCAGCCGCGGAGCCCGUCCUCUUUUUCGCCUUCCCACCAGCCUCCGUCCGGGACUUGCAGCAGCGUGAUAAGCUCGCCCGCGGCGAAGCGGAGCCCCUGGCCAUGCCGCUCCCCGGAGAAAGGGUACAGGGUCCGGCAGCGGGUGCCGGACAUGGCCUUGGCGCCCGGGCUCACAGGGCAGACUGCAUCCCUGCCGAGCCCCGCGGGCUGGGCAGCGGCUCCGCGGGAUCCCAGGCGCCCGGAGCCCGGGGCUCCCGCGCUCUGAGCGCGCGCCGUGUCGGGGGUGCGCGGGGGUCCCCGGUCAGGCAGGGGACGCGCGAUCCGCACAGAGAAGCAGAGACUCGCUGGCUUCGCCGAGCGAGCGGCGACGCCCCCGGGCCGGGCAGCUUACAGAUCCCAGCUCUGGGCGAGGGGGCGGGGCUCAGGGGGAGGAGACCCAGGGGCCCCGGGCUCCCGAGACAACUUCCCGGGGACGCGGAACGCGGGCUGCCGCCGCGAGGGCCGGCCGGAGCCAGGGCCGCCCCGGCGCGCGGAAAUGCGCAGCUCCCUGGGGAGGUGGGACCCGGAGCAUCCCCCUCGGCAGGACUCCGCGGUACUACAGACAUCAUUUGGAAAAGUUCCUGCUCUCAAGGGAUUCCUGGACCUCAGGUGCUGAACAGAACUGACCUUGCACCACACAUCUCAAAGAAAGAGAUUGAAGCCAAUAUCUAGAAUGUGAAAACUGAGAUACUUCAAUAUGAUCAGUGAUAUUGAAGAUCAGUUUGGAGCUGGGUGUGAUGGGACAUACCUGUGAUCCCAGACACUCAGGAGACUGAGACAGGAGGAUCAUGAAUUUGAGGCCAGCCUGGCUAUCUGGUUUGAAAUCUUUCAUAAUAAGAAAAUAAGAUGGAAUCCCAAGCUUCAUGUGUGCUAAGCAGACAUUCUACCACUGAGCUGCACCCCCACCCCUGAUUCAUUCCAUUUUAAAAGUCAGCACAGCAUGGGGCAAUUUUUUGGAGGGUCUUCAUUCACAGAGGCUAAAAGAUUCCAAGAUAUUUCAAACAUUUGUAAGUAAAGG